UGGACUUUGGUGUUAUGUAAUUUGUCCUAGUAUGGCACCACCAAAUCUGAGAAGAGGUCUAAGUUAUCAGAGUGAUUUUGAUUACAUAUGUUGGUGCAUAGGGCCUUUAAAAAACAUCCAAAUAGCUACUAAGCAAAGACAUUUUUUGACUUUUCAAUUAAAUUCAAUAGACUUAUUUAUCACUAAGGAAAUUCUUGUGCCACAGAAUGCCUCACGUACAGUGACACAAACUACAGUAACAACAAUUAACAUUCACAAACCAGUAACAACCAGAUGAGUUCCCCAGGUCAGGGUCAUACACUGGGCGCAGUUUAAAACAGUACAGUAUUAAAUAUCAGUCAAAAAAUUCAAAAUAUACAAGAUAUAAAGAGUUUAAGGGGCAGUGUGGUGGUGUAGUGGUUAGCAAGAGGGUUCCUCUUUCGAACAGAGUUGUGCGGAGUUUGCAUGUUCUCCCCAUGUCAGCGUGGGUUUUCUCCAAGUACUCCAGCUUCCUCCCACAGUCCAAAGACAUGCAGGUUAACUGGUGACUCUAAAUUGUCCGUAGGUGUGAAUGUGAGUGUGAAUGGUUGUCUGUCUCUAUGUGUCAGCCCUGUGAUAGUCUGGUGACCUGUCCAGGGUGUACCCUGCCUCUCGCCCAGUGUCAGCUGGGAUAGGCUCGAGCACACGCGCGAACCCUGACAGGAUAAGCGGUUAUGGAAAUGAAAUGGAUGAAUGAAUGAGUUAAGUGCUUCAGUGCCUAAUAGAGUAACAAUAUAAGUAAGAUCAGUACAAGAAGUCACAACAGGAGAAGCGCAAGUGAAAGUAAUCAAUUAAUGACUGAUAAUUCCAUUUAGCUGCUUUGAUUACAGGGAGCUGGGACUGUGCACGCUGGCUCACUGUCACUCUCACUGAACACUUGAAUACAACAUCGUUCGAGCCAUCGUUAGUGCAACUAUUAACACCUGUGCUUUUUCUACUAUGACAACUCAAAAUGGCUGCUUUAAAAAAGGUCUAAAUUUGCCUUAAGAAAGUCAAUUAAAUGUCAAAUGUUUUGAUGUGCUGCACGUGCUACUUGCUGGUACACUUGUGAUGAAGGGCUAUGUUAAUAAACUUGAUUCGAUAGUGAAAGUGUCUAUUCAUUGUAAGUUGCAUCUUGUGGUCUGAGUGACUAUAUAAAUAAGAAGCAGCACACUGCUGACACACUGCAUGCAUGCUCAGAAAACCUUAACCUAAACACACAAUAAGAUUAACUAAUCUUAAAUUUAGCACUAGAGAAAGGCAAUUACCAGCAAGUCCUCUGAGGUUGAGGUCAAAAGGGGAAAUACACUGAGUCUUGAUUUGAUUAGACCCUGGCCUUGCUGACGCAGAGAGUCUAAGCUGAUGCUAAAGGGGAGCCAUUUCAUCCAGCAGGUGUUUUCUUCGCUUAUAUGAACUGCGGCUCACACUUUCCACCUCAAUUACUGUUAUGAUUGCACAAGCCUUUAGUUCAGACUACCUUCCCCCAACACUCCCAUCAUCUUGCCCUCGUUGACACCCUCUGCGGCACCAUGACGCAGCAAGUCUCACGGCAGCAACCAACGUGGCUGAAGGUGCAUUUAAAAGAUGCAAGUGUGUUCGCAUGCAUGAUUAUGCUGGCAAUAAGGGUUUAAGGGUUGCUGGUUUUAACAACGGAAAAUGUGAGGCACAAGAGAGGUGAGACAACAACGCUUGCUCAGCACAAUUAGGUGGUGUCCCUGCACACAGAAAAAAAAACACACCCCUGGGUGGCUCCUGGAACAAGCAGAUGAGCUCUAUUCAUACAUAUGGCAAAAAGGCCUGACACACCUGGAGCCGGCGAUGUGAUAAGUGAAUGGAAUUAUGGACAUUAAAGUGUUAAAUAAACAUGUUUUUCUUCCGCCUGGCGUGAACACCUGGGACAUGGCACUAUUUAUGUAAGGCAUCCACGGAAACACUUUUGUUUUCAUACUCCAAAGCGAGCACCACUUGUGGUUUGAUUUAGUGCCGUCCAUUUGGGUCGGUUUAACAUUUAUUUAACCAUGAUACCGUAGCUAUGAUCCCGAAAGCACUUCCCCAAACACACCGCCACAGGCAAUACAAAGCAUACUCUUCAUAGUCCAAGUCUGAAUUCUCUGGCAGUCAUUUUGCAUUCCUUACUUUAAGCCAAGACCAGACAUCCCAGCAGAGAGGAGCAGAGUUAAGAGGUCAAGCAUGUCUAGGCUAAACAAUAAGCUUAAGUGGUGUGUGUGUGUUAAGAGACAGACAGAGAGGAAAAGACAGAGAGGGGAAGAAUGAAAUAGAUAAUGCCGUAAAAUUAAUUGCAAAUAGAUUUAAGUGCAGCUCUAUUUAACAACCACAGUAGAAGGUUCUUAAGAGACACAAGACCCCAAAACAUUGAAAACUCAGAUGUAGGGUUUGGUUUUCUCUGACCAGUUACAAAGUUUAACAGAAAUCCAACAUUACCUUUUAACAAACGUGUCAAACGCAUCAAGAAAACAACUGGUCAAUAUCAAACAUGGCUUAACAACCCCAUAAUGUCUCAAUCAGCAAUCAUCAUUCAUGCCAAGAGAAACCAGGUUCUUUCACUGUGUGAGUGGAAAAGGAAGCACUAUUGGGAGGAGGAAUGAAACACACUAACACUUAGGGGACACAUCGUUUUUCAGCCGGACAACUGGAGGUCAUAAUGAGCUGGAAAAGCUUAACAAUCUCUGUGGAUACUUGGGUCGAAUUGGACAUAGUGGAAAAAAGAGCGGCAGUGAUUAAGCAAUUAGUUGUCAACCAGGGUUGGAAAUUAGCAACAGCCACCAGCCACCAAUGAAAUGCUGGUAAAACAUGAGUGGCUGCUAGAUUUGCUUCAUUUACCAGCCAAAAAAAUCAAUGAUAGUCUAUUGAAUGGCUGGUAGAUUUUGGAAUCCACCAGCCACGGUGAUAGAUGAACAAAAAAGUUAAUUUCCAACCCUGUUGUCAACUAUUCAAUUUAUCGCGAACUAAUUUGGUAAUCCAUCAAUACCUUUAAAUAAUUUUUUUUUAAAAAGGAAAAUUUCUCUGAUUCUUAAGUGUCAAAACUUUCGGUUUCUUUACUACCAAAUACAGUAAACUGAAGAUCUUUUGGUUGUGGACAAAACAAGGCAUUUGAGGACGUUGUUUUGGGCUUUGGGAUCAACAUGUUGCCAUUUUAUGUCAUUUUAUAGACCAAACAGCUAAUCAAUAGAUCAAGAAAAUAACUGAUGGAUUAAACGGCAAUGAAAAUGAUUGUUAGGCUGGUUGCAGCCCUAGUGGAAAAUCUUUUUUUUUUUUUUUUUUUUUUUUGAGUAAGUUCUCCCUGUCAAUGUCCAACCACUUUCAAGCAGCCCUACGGGCAGGUCAGUGUGAGUGCGUUCUGAAUCGCAUACUUUUGCUUUUGACUUUUAGUAAGUACUGCAGCUGUCCUUAAAAAGUAUGUGCUGUUGCAUGCAGUAUGAACACCAUCAGGACAUACUACUUUCUCAUAACAUUACGCCCUUAACUUUGACCCUCUUGCUUUUAUAUGCAUUACCUUGGACAUAAAAACAAAUGCUACUAACCAAAUUUGCCAGAGACAUUUGCUGUUGUUACUUUGCAAUGCAUGUAGUUUAACUUUAAAGUUAUAACUGCACAGACUGUAGAUUUGCGCCCGUGAAAUUACAUCUGCAUUUCUCUUUCAUUGAAAUUUUUAUAGUUAUGUCCUUUUGUUGUUUGUAAGAUUUAUGAGUAACUUAGUUAAGUUACUUGAAUGCAUGUCAUCUGUCAUUGCGACACCUGUUUGCAGCUCAGUUGAUGUGACUUAUCGUCCGCUGUUCAGAGGAUUGUGGGUCAGAAUAGCCAGAGAAGCAUGCAGGGUUGCGUACUGCGAAAUUGGACAGGAUGUAGUAGAACAUCCUGGUAUUUUUGGCAUACUGCAUUUGACAUAUACUAAAUUUAUUUCUGGCAUACUAUAUAGUAUUGUAGCAUGGGUACUGGAAUGCACAGUAUGUGCUGUGCAUGCAUAUAAACUGCACACAGGUGGAGAAGCAAAUGCAAUAAAGCUUCUGCCACCAACAAAUCUGGCAAUUAUCUCAGUGUAAAUAAGUAAAUAAGACUUUCCAUUACAUAAGGAAGAAAUUUUAAUUACCUGAGAUCUAUUUUUGAGCGUCUGAGUAUGUGUGCUUGACCUGGCUGGGGUUUAGGGCUCAGUGAAUGAGUAAUGAGCUCGGGAGCAAGGUGCAUGUCAGUGGCUGCUUCAUGAACCUUUCCAAUCUAUCAUAAUAAUUGAUGUAAUAACACAGGGUAUUUUCUGAUAUUAAAUCCACCCGCAUUUGAAUGCAUGGACUAAACCACGCCUCGUUUAUGCAAUCUAAUCAAGACCAGUAACUUGCUAAUUAUCUUGCAUGCACACAUUUUCCAUGAUCCCAGGGUGGGGCAAAGAAAACAGCCAGUGCAACAGGACUUUAACCAGAGAGACAACACGGGUUAGACAACGUUUAACUUGAAGCUGAAUGGUUACACAAACGACAUGUACCAUGCUUUGUCUGUCAAUAAUCAUCCCUUUGGUUAGCGUGUAGCUUCGUGAAUAAUUACCCAGCCUUAAAUGCAAAUAAGGGCGACCUUAUAGACAAACAAAGGUGAGAUGAUGUGGAGACAUAAUGGACUGGGUGAUGGGGUAGCUACUGUUAUGACAGUUUCCGUUAGGACACUUUGUGCUCUUUGGUGGGCACACAUUAUCUAAUAACCGACGUUAACUUAACGCCACCAUUAAAUAAGGACACUCAAUUGGUGGCUCUCCACCCCGGACGCCGACAGGGGGUGCUGUUUGUGCAAACUCCAUCCAGCGAGGAGGUGACGGUGAACCGCAGACACAUCUUGUGGAGCAACAUUUGCCAUGUGGCAGGAAGCAACGACACAUCAUCGGCCAGGCACAAUGCUGGCUAUUUUGGGAUCUUCUGGGGUGUGCGGUGGGCGCACACUGAAUCAUGACAUUGCCUUUUGAGAUGAUAAUUCGGGAAAUCUGUGACUAUUUGCUCAUCCUUCUCCACAAGUAGGUCACAUUCAUUCCAGUACCUUUUAUAGGUGCAGCUGGAAUUUUAUGGUCACACAAUUCGUGUCAAAGCCCGCGGCACUCAUAAUGGAGGAAGUGACUAGUGGCGACAUCACCGCUUCAUACAUAGCAUCUCUAAGGAGUGGCUGGGACCUUGGGCAAAUGGCCGAGGUGAGGAAAUACAGAAUGGGGAUGGAAAGAGUGGAGAAGUGGCAGCCUCCUUUUUCUGCACCUUCCCCCCCCUCUCAUCCGCUCCUCUCAUCCUCUCAGACAGACUCACAGCUGGGGUGUGAACUGUGGGGAGAGGAAGCCAGCCUUUUCCUCUGGGUCAGUCUACAUCCCCUCAGAGUCAACAAUGUCUACAUGUAGCAUGGCAUGAGGCGAGUGCAUUAAGUUUAUAAAAAUGUAUGAAUAUGUACUUGUCAUAAAAAUAAGUUCUGUCAAUCUUGUACCAAACUCUCUUUAAACAGGAAGGGCCUUUUAGCCCUGUGAGUUUUAAAAGUGUCAGCAGGUGGAACUUACAACACCAGUGGUUAACUCACCAUUUAAGAUGCUGUUUCACUAACCAUUAGGCCAACUUCCUGUCCAAAAAUCAUAAAUAGUCUCCACUCAGUUUCCCCAUCUUUUACAGUAACACGGUAUAAAUAUUAACACACGGCUCUUUAAUUCUUUUUUUACCCUUGGUACCAAUGUGACACUAAAAUAAGCGAGCAGCUGUGUGUUUAAGUAGUUUCCAACACGGCCCUGUUGAGCUGACAGUAAAACAAAGCUGCUGGCAACACCUUGUCAAGACCACCUGAUGGCUGCUUCUCUCAUCUCUCUGAAUCUGUGCCAUUUAUUUUUGUGACAGGCUACAGUAAAUUAAACACUAUUUCCCCACACGUACAUUUCCUUUGUAUGUUUUAAGUUGUGACCGACAGUAACCUCUGACCGACAUCAGAGAAUGAAAAAAAGGGAUGUGGGCUUUUAGUUAUCUUGUGUUUAAAAUUGCAAGUUACUGUCCUGACCUAAUUAUUCAAACUUAUCAGAGUGAUCUGUAAAUCACCUUUAUUUUUAAAAUUAUUUGGCUUAAGAGACAAUUCUCCUUUUAUAUUAAAUAUAGAUUUUAAAACCUACUAAAAAUUAGAUUAUUUAGACAUUUCAGUUUCAAUCCCUUUG